rnacentral:rRNA from 1 species
AUUGAACGCUGGCGGCAGGCCUAACACAUGCAAGUCGAACGCGUGGCGGAUGGGUGAGUAAUGUUUGGGAAACUGCCCGCUGGAGGGGGAUAACUACUGGAAACGGUAGCUAAUACCUCAUACCAUCGGUUGAGCCCAGAUGGGAUUAGCUAGUGGGUGGGGUAAUGGCUAACCUAGGCGACGAUCCCUAGCUGGUCUGAGAGGAUGACCAGCCACACUGGAACUGGGACACGGUCCAGACUCCUACGGGAGGCAGCAGUGGGGAAUAUUGCACAAUGGGCGAAAGCCUGAUGCAGCCAUGCCGCGGGUAUGAAGAAGGCCUUCGGGUUGUAAAGUACUUUCAGCGAGGAGGCGUUACUCGCAGAAGAAGCACCGGCUAACUCCGUGCCAGCAGCCGCGGUAAUAC